rnacentral:rRNA from 1 species
CUCGUAGGCGGUUCGUCGCGUCCGGUGUGAAAGUCCAUCGCUUAACGGUGGAUCUGCGCCGGGUACGGGCGGGCUUGAGUGCGGUAGGGGAGACUGGAAUUCCCGGUGUAACGGUGGAAUGUGUAGAUAUCGGGAAGAACACCAAUGGCGAAGGCAGGUCUCUGGGCCGUCACUGACGCUGAGGAGCGAAAGCGUGGGGAGCGAACA